rnacentral:rRNA from 1 species
CCCUUAGAUGUUCUGGGCCGCACGCGCGCUACACUGAUGCAUUCAACAAGCCUAGCCUUGACCGAGAGGUCCGGGUAAUCUUUGAAACUGCAUUGUGAUGGGGCUAGAUUAUUGCAAUUAUUAAUCUUCAACGAGGAAUGCCUAGUAAGCGUGAUUCAUCAAAUCGCGUUGAUUACGUCCCUGCCCUUUGUACACACCGCCCGUCGCUCCUACCGAUUGAAUGUGUUGGUGAGGAGCUCGGAUUGGCAGCAGUUGGUGGUUCGCCACCGGCUAUUGCUGAGAAGUCCUCCAAACCGCCCCAUUUAGAGGAAGGAGAANUCGUANCA